GCCAUGCCGCAGCUUUACCAUGCAGUCGAACGGCAGCACGGACUUCGGUCUGGUGGCGAGUGGCGAACGGGUGAGUAAUAUAUCGGAACAUGUCCGGAAGUGGGGGAUAACGUAGCGAAAGUUACGCUAAUACCGCAUAUGCCCUGAGGGGGAAAGGGGGGGAUCGCAAGACCUCUCGCUUUCGGAGUGGCCGAUAUCGGAUUAGCUAGUUGGUGAGGUAAUGGCUCACCAAGGCGACGAUCCAUAGCUGGUCUGAGAGGAUGAUCAGCCACACUGGGACUGAGACACGGCCCAGACUCCUACGGGAGGCAGCAGUGGGGAAUAUUGGACAAUGGGCGCAAGCCUGAUCCAGCCAUGCCGCGUGAGUGAAGAAGGCCUUCGGGUUGUAAAGCUCUUUCGGACGGAACGAAAUGGUUAUGGCUAACACCUGUGACUGAUGACGGUACCGUAAGAAGAAGCACCGGCUAACUACGUGCCAGCAGCCGCGGUAAUACGUAGGGUGCGAGCGUUAAUCGGAAUUACUGGGCGUAAAGCGUGCGCAGGCGGCGGCUCAAGUCAGGUGUGAAAUCCCCGGGCUUAACCUGGGAAUUGCGCUUGAAACUAGGUCGCUAGAGUGUGGCAGAGGGGGGUGGAAUUCCACGUGUAGCAGUGAAAUGCGUAGAGAUGUGGAGGAACACCGAUGGCGAAGGCAGCCCCCUGGGUCAACACUGACGCUCAGGCACGAAAGCGUGGGGAGCAAACAGGAUUAGAUACCCUGGUAGUCCACGCCCUAAACGAUGCGAACUAGGUGUUGGGGAAGGAGACUUCCUUAGUACCGCAGCUAACGCGUGAAGUUCGCCGCCUGGGGAGUACGGUCGCAAGAUUAAAACUCAAAGGAAUUGACGGGGACCCGCACAAGCGGUGGAUGAUGUGGAUUAAUUCGAUGCAACGCGAAAAACCUUACCUACCCUUGACAUGGUCGGAAGCCUCCUCGAGAGGAGUGUGCCCGAAAGGGAGCCGACACACAGUGCUGCAUG
rnacentral:rRNA from 1 species